GCCUUCGUGGUGUAGCGAUCAGCAUGCUCGAGCCGUAACCGAGAGGUCCGUGGUUCGAUUCCCGGCGAAGGCU
rnacentral:tRNA from 1 species